UAUAGAUUUAUAUAAUUUUUUGAUGUUAUUUUAACUUUUAUUUUUAAAUAAAAUUCUAAUAAGAUUAAUUAUGUUUAAUAAAAAUAUUUAGUGAAUUUUUUUAAAUUAUAUUAAUAAGUAAUGUAAGUGAAUUUUUUAAGUUAAUAUAUAAAAAAAGAAUUUUAAUUUAAUGUUCCUUUUGUAUCAGGAUUUAUUAAAAUAAAUUUAUUUAUAAGAAUAAUUUUUCUCGGAUUUAUAAGAGUUAAUUAUAUAUUAAAGUUAAUGUAAAAUAAUUAUUUUAAAUAUAUAAUUAGUAGAGAAAUUUUAUUCAAUUAUAAAGAUAUCUAGUUUUUUUUUAUUUGAAUUUAAUUUAGGUAUAAGUUAAAAUAAUAUUUAAUUUAAAAAAAAAUUUUUUUGUUUAUACUAAAUAUUUAUGGGAUAAUCUAUAAAUAAAUUAAAAUUAAAAAAUUAUUUUUAUUAUAAAAAUAUAGUAAUAAGAUUUUAUAUUAAUUGAGAAAAUUUAAUAAUUUAUUUAAUUGUAUUAAAUUAUGAUUUAUAUUAUUUAAUAAUUUAUUUUUAUAAAAAAAUAUUUUUAUAAAUUAUUUGUAUAAAGAAAUAAUGAUAAAAUUAGUAUAAUUUUAAUAUUUUUGGGAUAAAAUAUAUUUAUAUAUUGAUAAUAGUAAUUAGGCAAAUUAUAUAAAUUCAACUGUUUAAUAAAAACAUUGUUUUUUGAUAAUUAUAAAAAAUAAAUUCUGCUCAAUGAUAAUUAAUUUAAAUAGCUGCAGUAAAUUGACUGUACAAAGGUAGCAUAAUAAGUUGUCUCUUAAUUGGGGGCUGGAAUGAAGGAAUAAAUGAAAUUUAUACUUUCUUUUAUUAAAUUAUAGAAUUUUAAUUUUAAGUUAAAAUGCUUAAGUAAUUUUAUGGGACGAUAAGACCCUAUAGAAUUUUAUAUAAAAUUUAAUAGAUGAUUUGAUUUAAUUAUAAUUAAAUUUUAUAUUUAGUUGGGAGGACUAUUAAAUUAAUUAAACUUUAAUAAUAAAUGACAUAAAUUGAAGGAUUUUAUGAAUAAUGAUUAUUAUAAAAAAAUUAAUUACCUUAGGGAUAACAGCGUAAUAUUUUUGGUGAGUUCAUAUUUAUAAAAAUGUUUGCGACCUCGAUGUUGAAUUAAGAUUUAUUUUAGGUGUAGAAGUUUGAAAAAUUAGUCUGUUCGACUAUUAGAAUCUUACAUGAUUUGAGUUUAGACCGAUGUGAGUCAGGUCAGUUUUUAUCUAUAAUUAGUUAAUAAAUUAUAUUUGUACGAAAGGACUUUAUAGUUAAAAUAUUUUUAUUUAUAUUAAAGUAAUAAUUAAACAAUAAUUGAUAAAAAA
rnacentral:rRNA from 1 species